GAUAAUCCCCAUGGUGAGCAUUGUUGCAUGGAUGCUAAUUGGGCAAAGGUUUGAGGAACAAAGGUAUUUGCAUAGUCUCCUAGGAUCUCCCCCAAGGCAUUUGUUGACCACAGGGGGAAAGAUAGUAAGUGUGUAUUUAUUUCACAGUCCAUAUUACACCGUUUCUUUAUUUUUCUAAUACUAGCGUUAGUAGAUGCUGACUCCCAGUACAUCUGAGUAGUUAGUACGUUCUCAAAUUCUUGAUGAUAAAGGGGCCUCCAGAUGUUGAUUGUGUUUUUGUAUCUAGAUAAUUAGCUAGUGUCCAGUCAAAACUGUUAAUUCAUGUAUAACUGGAGGAAAGUCCACUUCGAGGUAGACCUGGGACACUAUGUAAAAUCAUCUCAGGUAGAGACUCGCACUGGCUCUUCCGUGUUCCCACUGUGCCCUAUUUGAAUAGACUAGAAAUAUCUAUUUCACACCAGAGAAUUGGUUGUGUACAAAUUUGUCUCCUGACAAGGUGUUUCCUGAGUCCAGCGGCUGCCUCCUUCAUCUUUAUGUCUCUGGUGACAAGCACAGUGACUCACUCAGGUCCCCAUGGUUGAUACAGAAGACUGUCAUAUGAACCAGUGAGAGUAACUGAAAUCAAAAAAAAGGCUCCAGCAUCUCGGUAAAAACAUGCCACAAGGGACGAGAAGGAGAAGUUUCAACCAGCAGGCCAAGAGACCAGAGACAAGCCAUGUGUGGACAAGCCUCUGCUUUAGGCCCAGAAGGAAAAGAAAUUCAUAGGAGACAAUGAGUCUCAGACUCUUUCUUGGUUAUGAGCAAGAGUUCCCUGGAUCUAAGAGGAUCUUAUAUGUCAGUGAGCAUGAAAGUCCCUGAGGACCUGAUAGUGCUGGAGCACAUAACCCCAGUCUAAUCAUGAGGAAAACAUCAGACAAAUCUCAGCUGAGGGACAUUCUACAAACUGUCUGAUCAGUACUCCUCAAAACUGUCAAGGUCGCCAAAAGCAAGGAAAGUCUGUGAAACUGUUACAGCCAAGAAGAGCCUAAUGGGUCAUGACGACUAAAUGUAACGUGGUAUCCUAAAUGGGAUCCUGGAAUACCAGAAGGACAUUAGGAAAAAACUGAGGAAAUAGGAG
rnacentral:lncRNA from 1 species